CGUAGGUGACGUGCCCCAAAGAGGAGAAUAACUACUGGAAACGGUGGCUAAUACUCCAUGUGCUCUGCGAUUCAGUUCGCUGAGUAAAGCUCCGGCGCUUUGGGAGGGGCCUGCGGCCCAUCAGGUAGUUGGUAGGGUAAUGGCCUACCAAGCCUAUGACGGGUAGGGGGCGUGAGAGCGUGACCCCCCACACUGGCACUGAGAUACGGGCCAGACUCCUACGGGAGGCAGCAGUGAGGAAUAUUGCCCAAUGGACGAAAGUCUGAGGCAGCAACGCCGCGUGGGCGAUGAAGGCCUUCGGGUUGUAAAGCCCUUUUCUGGGGGAAGAGGAAGGACGGUACCCCAGGAAUAAGUCACGGCUAACUACGUGCCAGCAGCCGCGGUAAUACGUAGGUGGCUAGCGUUAUCCGGAUUUACUGGGCGUAAAGCGCGUGCAGGCGGUUUCGUAAGUCGGACGUGAAAGCUCCUGGCUUAACUGGGAGAGGCCGUUCGAUACUGCGGAACUUGAGGUCGGGAGAGGGACGUGGGAUUCCCGGUGUAGUGGUGGAAUGCGUAGAUAUCGGGAGGAACACCAGUGGCGAAGGCGGCGUCCUGGCCCGCACCUGACGCUGAGACGCGAAAGCGUGGGUAGCGAACGGGAUUAGAUACCCCGGUAGUCCACGCCGUAAACGGUGGAUACUAGGUGUUGGCGGCUAUCGUCGUCAGUGC
rnacentral:rRNA from 1 species